UAAAUUUCUCCCUCCUCUGGU
rnacentral:misc_RNA from 1 species